GCCACCCGAACGGGAAAAGGCAAAGGCUCUUCAUCCAGAGCUCACUACGCGCACGGAGCCGGCCACCCUCCGCGCGCAGACACUCGCAGGCCGCAGAGGAGCCGGGAAGCUUCCUCACGGAGAAAGGAAGACCGCGGAUACGCUCCGUGUGGACGCUGCUGGCCGGGAACCCAGCGGCCUCCUGCGCGAUCAGUUACAGACGCGCGGUGGCCUUCUCUGACUGGUCCGAAAGUGGAGGCCCUGGACCCAGACGCUGAGUGCGCUCCUUCCGACGUGUCAGACCUGGUACCUCGCUGAAGCUGAGCGCUCUCUUCCUCAACGCCUACCUCCUAGGAGUGCUGAGUUUGGGACGGAAAAUUGUGCCCAAGAAGUAAGUCUUUGAUCUGCCUGAUCUGCCUGACCUGCUUAUCUCCAGGAUCUAACAAAGCAGGUUCUACAGAAAAACCACUCCUUGAGUGUUUGAUGGAGACAGACAAGAUGACAGAAGAAACUCAACCCGGGAGCUGAAUGUUUUCCAUAAUUGAGGAGGAGUUCUCUGCUUCACUCUUAUGAAGGCACCUGUCAAUGCAUUUUUGGUCCACCUGGGUAAUGAAAGAUAAUCUCAUUUCAAGAGCCUUGACUGAAUCACCCUGCAAAGACUCUUUUUCCAAAUAAGGUCUCUCUUGGAGGAACUCUCAAGGCCUGGCCUCUCACAUGGAGAAGCACUCAGGAACCCGUCACUCAGGAAGACCAGCAGGAACGAACUGUAGAUUGAUUUCCUGCCUUCCUUCCUUCCUUUCAAGAUUUAAUUUAUUUAUUUGGGAGAGUGGGGGAGAGGUAGAGGGAGAAGCAGACUCCCUGCUGAGC